GAUGAAGAACGUAGCGAAAUGCGAAAAGUAGUGUGAAUUGCAGAAUUCAGUGAAUCAUCGAAUCUUUGAACGCACAUUGCGCCCCUUGGUAUUCCAUGGGGCAUGCCUGUUCGAGCGUCAUUACAACCCUCAAGCUCAGCUUGGUGUUGGGCCCCGCCGCCCCGGCGGGCCCUAAAGUCAGUGGCGGUGCCGUCCGGCUCCGAGCGUAGUAAUUCUUCUCGCUCUGGAGGUCCGGUCGUGUGCUCGCCAGCAACCCCCAAUUUUUUUCAGGUUGACCUCGGAUCAGGUAGGGAUACCCGCUGAACUUAAGCAUAUCAAUAAGCGGAGGA
rnacentral:misc_RNA from 1 species